AGUGAACGCUGGCGGUAGGCCUAACACAUGCAAGUCGAACGGCAGCACAGUAAGAGCUUGCUCUUACGGGUGGCGAGUGGCGGACGGGUGAGGAAUACAUCGUAAUCUACUUUUUCGUGGGGGAUAACGUAGGGAAACUUACGCUAAUACCGCAUACGACCUACGGGUGAAAGCAGGGGAUCUUCGGACCUUGCGCGAUUGAAUGAGCCGAUGUCGGAUUAGCUAGUUGGCGGGGUAAAGGCCCACCAAGGCGACGAUCCGUAGCUGGUCUGAGAGGAUGAUCAGCCACACUGGAACUGAGACACGGUCAAGACUCCUACGGGAGGCAGCAGUGGGGAAUAUUGGACAAUGGGCGCAAGCAUGAUCCAGCCAUACCGCGUGGGUGAAGAAGGCCUUCGGGUUGUAAAGCCCUUUUGUUGGGAAAGAAAAGCAGCAGGUUAAUACCCCGCUGUUCUGACGGUACCCAAAGAAUAAGCACCGGCUAACUUCGUG
rnacentral:rRNA from 1 species